UCUCUCAACAUCUCUUUACCCGUGAGCAUGCGUCUUAGCAUGUUUGUGUAAUUAUAUUUUAUAGGUGGAUCCUAUCAAAGAAGAAUUUCUAUCACCACCAUGGACAGACAAUAAGUCUAUCUUUCUUCUAUCUUGUAUUGUUUGAUCCGUAAUCAGUUUCUCACAAAGAGUAAAUCCGGUCUAAUUUUAAUUCGUACAAGAAUCUUUGGGCUUCUCUUCACACCCUCACACUUCCCCCUCAGAAAGAAUAUUCACUUCCUCAAAGACCCAACCUCUCUCCAACACCUCAUGCCGAUCCUGUGAUCUUAUUGGAAGGAUCAACAGUCAUAAAAACCACCAAAAAAACAAAUGCAAAAUAGCUAGCUAGCACGGAUAUAAGUGACAGUCAGUCACUUCAGCUUGCAACAGGCAGAGCGAGGAAGGAGAGAGAAGAAGAAGAAGAUCACUGCUUGAGAAAAAAACCAAACACCCCGUCAAUAACACCACAAGAUGGCCGGUAGGACGAAUGGACUGGAAAAUUAUUUUCUCUUUGAAAAAGUGUGAGAGCGAGAAAACAAAGUGCAUUUUAAUAUAUUUUUCUAGACAAGACUAAUUUCUUCGGUGAAUCAUCAUCAUCCACAGGGCCGACGACCCAUUCUCGAUUUGAAGAAGAAGAAGAAGAAGACUUUAACCUGACCCGGGAUGAUUUUGAUGAGCUGGACAGGCUCGAUAAUCAGACUCGAAAUCUGACCUCGACAGCCAGUGAAGUCCCAGGACCUUCAAACACAGGCCGUCAGAAUCUGACAAGAAAUAGGUCAAUUAUCACGGAUUCUCUACAAGAGUUAUCCUCUCUCCGUACCAGGGUUUUUCCUCCAAAUCCAGAAGACACUCCAGGGACUUCUGGUUCUGCAGUAAGAGCUCGCUUUUCCCGGGCUCUGAGCCGUUUCGACGACAUUGAUCACACUCAAGUCUCGGGAGACCUCAACAACCUCCGUACUUCCGAUCUCCUGUUCGCACCUGGUCGAGUAGAAACCGCUGUCAAUACAAGCGAGGUGGUUGAUCUCACUGGGCCUACGCAGACCGAGCCUCCUACUACAAUCCAGGAGCUCAGAG